UACGUAGGGUGCGAGCGUUAAUCGGAAUUACUGGGCGUAAAGCGUGCGCAGGCGGUUCGUUGUGUCGGCGGUGAAAGCCCCGGGCUCAACCUGGGAAUGGCCGUUGAAACUGGCGAACUGGAGUGUGGCAGAGGGGGGUGGAAUUCCGGGUGUAGUGGUGAAAUGCGUAGAUAUCGGGAGGAACACCUGAGGCGAAGGCGGGCUACUGGGCCGAUACUGACGCUGAUGCGCGAAAGCCAGGGGAGCAAACGGG
rnacentral:rRNA from 1 species